ACAGCCACUUUUCUCCGAAACUAUAAGAACUAUACUGUUGAAACUUGGUAAGUAGAUGUAUUCUGUGAACCGCAUUAAGAUUUUCAUACAAAAAUAGAAAAAAAAAAUUUUUGGAGAUUCCCCAUACUUAGAACUGAAACUCAAAAAUUUUUUUUCAUCAAACCUAUACAUGUGGGGUAUCUAUGGAUAGGUCUUCAAAAAUGAUAUUGAGGUAUCUAAUAUCAUUUUUUUCUAAACUGAAUAGUUUGCGCGAGAGACACUUCCAAAGUGAUAGAAUUGUCCCCCCCCCCCUGUAACUUCUAAAAUAACAGAAUGAUAAAACUAAAAAAAAUAUAUGAUGUACAUUACCGUGUAAACUUCCACCGAAAAUUGGUUUGAACGAGAUCUAGUAAGUAGUUUUUUUUUUAAUACGUCAUAAA